GCCUCCUGCACACCCCACACUGGGGACUGUGCCUGCAAUCCAGGCAUGUGCCCUGACCAGGGGAUUGAACCAUGACCUCCUGGUUCAUCAGUGGAAUGCUUAACCAUUGAGCCACACCAGUCAGGCUCUCCUGAGUUCUAAAGAUGUUUUCAAAAUAUCAAUAAGGUCUAAGUGCCAAUUCCCUACAAAUCACCAUUUCUUCAUUAUGUUCUUUAGAAAUGAAACCUGCUUUAGAUAUUAUGACUCAUAUAUAUGUAUUUAGGGAAUUAAAAGUGAAUGAGAUGUACGAGGCAGUCAUAAACAGAAAAUAAGUGUGUGCGUCACUAAUGUUUUCGCAUGUAUUAGCUACAGCAAGAAAAUGGAAUUACUACAUUUCUUCUAGUGUGCCUUAGCAAAUCUGAUUGAGAGUCUAGUUCUUGGUUUUUAUUUUGAGAAUUGGAAAAAAAAUCUCUGACCUUGCAAUUCCAGGCCUUGUAAAGUCACUAUCCAUGGUGAUAUGUUCAAUAGUGCCUGGAGAGAGGAAGAUAACAAUUGUAUGUCAUGAAAAGCUAUAUAAGAACAGACUCCAAAAAAUGGACUUUCAAUAUGAAGAGAUAUUCAUAUUGACUAGGAAUGAGACUAGAGAGAGAUGACAGAUAUAGCACUGGCCAUCAAACCUCAGAUUCCUGGACUUGAGGCUAUCCCUGAAAAGCAAGGAGCCCUAGGAAAAAUAACAGAUUGCAUAGUAGGGAUAAAUAAUAGAAUUAGUUCAAAUCAACAAGUAUUUAUCAAGUGUCUACUUUGGACAAGGUGCUGUGCUAGCAGCCAGCUUCCCUAAAGGGAGCUAUAGCCAAACACAAGGACACUGAGGAUUGCUGGUGUAAAGUCAUUGGUGAGAUUAAAAUUGGGGUUUCUAAGAAUCUUGAAAGGACAUUGUCAUGGAGAAAAUCACCAUGUUCUGUGACUUGCAGUUUUCCCACUUGGGCUUCAGGAACCUCAGCUAAGUGAGGAAGCUGGACUCAUUGUUUCCUCAGGUCCUUUCCAGUUUUAUGGAUUAUUUCACAAAAUACCCUUUGGUGCCAUUGUCAGUGAUUCUUCAUGUCAACAGGCCUCUUCACAUAGUCUUAAGAACCAAGACAUUUACACUUUGAAGACUGGAAAAAUCAGCUGGCCCACCUUUUUCCUUUUCAUGUGUCUAUCCUUUACCAUCUGCCCAAACAACUGAAACACAGAAAACCCUGCAAUCCUCUAUUUUGUAUUUGCCUUCAAAGAAAUAGAUAAAUAUGGAGGAUCAAAGGAUGGUGAAGAUCAACAGGAAUACUGCUUGGGAAGGUCCACUGGGAUCACCCAGCACAGUGUGUGAGUGUGAGGAAGAGCAGAGAGCUCUCCAAAAUGGAUGUUGUAUUUGGGUACUACUUACAAUAGAAGUAGGUCUAACCCUCCAAGGUACUGAGGUACGUUAGGAUGAUCAGAGAUUUAUUAUAUAUAGGUGUAUCCUUUGAUGCAAAAGACUGCAGAAAUCGAGGGAGAAAAAAAAUCACUUAGUAAACAUCUUAGGACUGUGUCAUAUAGUUAUGGCAAAAUGAGAUGAAAGGGUCAGUCCUCCCUAUCCACACUGUCUUCUAGGAACAUAAACGUAGUUUUUUUAAAAAAAAUUUCAAACAUGUACAAACUACAAAAUAGCAUCUCCUCUGGUAUGUGUUAGUGUGAUUUUAGUUUCUCGUACUUAGAUUUGGUCAAAUGGAAUGGCUUCUAUCGAACUGGACAGAGCAAGAAAUUUCCACAUUCUCUGCCUCUGAUCAAACUCUCACUACUAGCCAGAUGGUGGUUGAAGCCUUAACUACCAUGUGAUUCAAGAUCAGCGACCGCACUUGGUACUGGGGAAGCAGAUAUGCAGAUCCUGACAGCAACCUGCUGGACCUAAGUGUUUAAGGGUUUUAAAGUAUAGGGGUGACAGAAGAGAUAACUAUGAACUCCUCUGACCCUAAGCCAACAUUCAUUUAACCUUUGUGUCCAACUGCCAACAGAGCCUGGAUACAUUUUCACUAUAUUCAAGAAGCUAAACAGACAGUGUUUUAGCCAGAGAAUGAUAAAAGUGCACUCCUCCUUACCCUGCAUUUUUAUAAUGUCCAUAGUGAAUUUCAAUAUGUCAAGAUGGAUGGACCCAAGAUCCAAUGAAUGAUUCAGCUGAUCCAAGGCUUGUAUUUUCCUGCAUUUGUCAUCUAUCUUCUUUUGAUGAAACUUUUUUGUACUAUUGUGAUUAAUUUUAUGUAAAAUUGCUUUACUUAAAAAUAUGUGCCUAUGUAAUAAAGUCUACACACUGGCUAACUCUGUAGAGGUGAGAUUUUGUUUUUAAUUGUUCUUCUGAUUAUCAUCUGUAAUACCUUUUUGAACUAUGAAAAUGAGCUAUUAAUAAACAUUUUUAAGCAAAA